rnacentral:rRNA from 1 species
CGGCGUGCCUAAUACAUGCAAGUAGAACGCUGAAGAGAGGAUUUUGCUCUUCUUGGAUGAGUUGCGAACGGGUGAGUAACGCGUAGGUAACCUGCCUUGUAGCGGGGGAUAACUAUUGGAAACGAUAGCUAAUACCGCAUAACAAUAGGUGACACAUGUCAUUUAUUUGAAAGGGGCAAUUGCUCCACUACAAGAUGGACCUGCGUUGUAUUAGCUAGUAGGUGAGGUAACGGCUCACCUAGGCGACGAUACAUAGCCGACCUGAGAGGGUGAUCGGCCACACUGGGACUGAGACACGGCCCAGACUCCUACGGGAGGCAGCAGUAGGGAAUCUUCGGCAAUGGGGGCAACCCUGACCGAGCAACGCCGCGUGAGUGAAGAAGGUUUUCGGAUCGUAAAGCUCUGUUGUAAGUCAAGAACGAGUGUGAGAGUGGAAAGUUCACACUGUGACGGUAGCUUACCAGAAAGGGACGGCUAACUACGUGCCAGCAGCCGCGGUAAUACGUAGGUCCCGAGCGUUGUCCGGAUUUAUUGGGCGUAAAGCGAGCGCAGGCGGUUUGAUAAGUCUGAAGUUAAAGGCUGUGGCUCAACCAUAGUUCGCUUUGGAAACUGUCAAACUUGAGUGCAGAAGGGGAGAGUGGAAUUCCAUGUGUAGCGGUGAAAUGCGUAGAUAUAUGGAGGAACACCGGUGGCGAAAGCGGCUCUCUGGUCUGUAACUGACGCUGAGGCUCGAAAGCGUGGGGAGCGAACAGGAUUAGAUACCCUGGUAGUCCACGCCGUAAACGAUGAGUGCUAGGUGUUGGAUCCUUUCCGGGAUUCAGUGCCGCAGCUAACGCAUUAAGCACUCCGCCUGGGGAGUACGACCGCAAGGUUGAAACUCAAAGGAAUUGACGGGGGCCCGCACAAGCGGUGGAGCAUGUGGUUUAAUUCGAAGCAACGCGAAGAACCUUACCAGGUCUUGACAUCCCGAUGCUAUUUCUAGAGAUAGAAAGUUACUUCGGUACAUCGGUGACAGGUGGUGCAUGGUUGUCGUCAGCUCGUGUCGUGAGAUGUUGGGUUAAGUCCCGCAACGAGCGCAACCCCUAUUGUUAGUUGCCAUCAUUCAGUUGGGCACUCUAGCGAGACUGCCGGUAAUAAACCGGAGGAAGGUGGGGAUGACGUCAAAUCAUCAUGCCCCUUAUGACCUGGGCUACACACGUGCUACAAUGGUUGGUACAACGAGUUGCGAGUCGGUGACGGCAAGCUAAUCUCUUAAAGCCAAUCUCAGUUCGGAUUGUAGGCUGCAACUCGCCUACAUGAAGUCGGAAUCGCUAGUAAUCGCGGAUCAGCACGCCGCGGUGAAUACGUUCCCGGGCCUUGUACACACCGCCCGUCACACCACGAGAGUUUGUAACACCCGAAGUCGGUGAGGUAACCUUUUGGAGCCAGCCGCCUAAGGUGGGAUAGAUGAUUGGGG